UCUCCGUUGGUGAACCAGCGGAGGGAUCAUUAAAGAGUUGCAAGACUCCCAAACCAUUGUGAACAUACCUUCAAUGUUGCUUCGGCGGGUUGGCCCCGGUCGCCGGGGUCCCCGGCCCUCACGGGCGCUAGCCGGAGGUACCUAACUCUUGCACUGUUAUAGCCUCUGCGUGUUAUUGUUCUUAAUAAGUCAAAACUUUCAACAACGGAUCUCUUGGUUCUG
rnacentral:misc_RNA from 1 species